AGUCCCAAAAUAUGCUGUAGCAGGAGGGGAAGACUUCCAAGGAGAGGUCCUGUACGUUGCCAGAAUCCGACUACGCUCUGGUCUCACCCCUGGAAAAAUGGCUCCAUCCAGCAGAUUGGCCCAUGCAUCCUGGGGAGGAAAAGAGCAUUAUAAAAGAAGCUACGAAAUCCUCACUAACCCUGGAUGGAGAUCACAUUUGGAA